CCCUUAGACGUUCUGGGCCGCACGCGCGCUACACUGACGAAGGCAACGAGCUUUCCUUUACCGAAAGGUACGGGUAAUCUUUUGAAACUUCGUCGUGCUGGGGAUAGAUCCUUGCAAUUAUUGAUCUUAAACGAGGAAUUCCUAGUAAGCGCAAGUCAUCAACUUGCGUUGAUUACGUCCCUGCCCUUUGUACACACCGCCCGUCGCUACUACCGAUUGAAUGGUUUAGUGAGGCCUUCGGAUCCGCGACUCGUUUUGCGGAGAAGUUGGACAAACUCAGUCAUUUAGAGGAAGUAAAAGUCGUAACA
rnacentral:rRNA from 1 species